rnacentral:rRNA from 1 species
AUUGAACGCUGGCGGCAGGCCUAACACAUGCAAGUCGAACGAGUGGCGGACGGGUGAGUAAUGUCUGGGAAACUGCCCGAUGGAGGGGGAUAACUACUGGAAACGGUAGCUAAUACCGCAUACCAUCGGAUGUGCCCAGAUGGGAUUGGCUAGUAGGUGGGGUAAGGGCUCACCUAGGCGCCGAUCCCUCGCUGGUCUGAGAGGAUGACCAGCAACACUGGAACUGAGAAACGGUCCAUAAUCCUACGGGAGGCAGCAGUGGGGAAUAUUGCACAAUGGGCGCAAGCCUGAUGCAGCCAUGCCGCGUGUAUGAAGAAGGCCUUCGGGUUGUAAAGUACUUUCAGCGGGGAGGCGUUACCCGCAGAAGAAGCACCGGCUAACUCCGUGCCAGCAGCCGCGGUAAUAC